UGCCAGACUCCUACGGGAGGCAGCAGUGAGGAAUAUUGGUCAAUGGGCGGGAGCCUGAACCAGCCAAGUCGCGUGAGGGAAGACGGUCCUACGGAUUGUAAACCUCUUUUGCCGGGGAGCAACGGGGUCCUUGCGAGGGCCCGAUGAGAGUACCCGGAGAAAAAGCAUCGGCUAACUCCGUGCCAGCAGCCGCGGUAAUACGGAGGAUGCGAGCGUUAUCCGGAUUUAUUGGGUUUAAAGGGUGCGUAGGGGGGCUGUUAGGUCGGGGGUCAAAGGUCGGGGCUCAACCCCGGCCUGCCGUUGAAACUGGCGGCCUCGAGUGGGCGAGAAGUAUGCGGAAUGCGUGGUGCAGCGGUGAAAUGCAUAGAUAUCGCGCAGAACUCCGAUUGCGAAGGCAGCAUGCCGGCGGCGAUCUGACGCCGAGGCACGAAAGCGUGGGUAUCGAACAGGAUUAGAUACCCCCGUA
rnacentral:rRNA from 1 species